GGGGCGGGGAGAGGCGGAGGGAAGAGGGGGAAAUCCCUUUUAGUUUUGCGAUUAGGCUGCCAGGCUUUGUAAAGGGCUUAAAAACAAAGUCUUGCUCAGUCUUUUGUAGGAGAGAUCCAGAUGUUAUGUAGAUUUCUGUUUGCGUGUUCGUUUUGAGCGGAUCCGGCGGUGAGCGCAGUAUUUACGUGUGUGUGUUGCUGGACUUUACCGUUUAUCGACGUUGCGCUUGUGGAAUGUAUGCUGGAGUAUUAGCUCGAGGAUGUCCUCCAAGAUUAAAGCUAGUCCUAAGAGCAACCGAAUUGCUGUGACUGACUUUCACGGGACUGUAAAGAGAGGUGAGUAGAAGAGCCCUUAGUAUGUAGAUCUCUUUCAAGCAGUGGUUAAGUCAAUUCAUUUCGCAGGGAAAAAGCCAGUCUUCUUGUGCAGUAUUUUAUACUCUGUCGUAUAAAUCGGUAACGUAAUUCAAGAUAUUCAUGGUAAUGAAUGCUUGGCUAAUCCUUUGGGUGCG
rnacentral:lncRNA from 1 species